rnacentral:rRNA from 1 species
UACUUAGGGAUCUGCCUUUUGGAGGGGGAUAACCAUUGGAAACGAUGGCUAAUACCGCAUAAUGUCUACGGACCAAAGGGGGCUUCGGCUCCCACCAGAAGAGGAACCUAAGCGAGAUUAGCUUGUUGGUGAGGUAAAGGCUCACCAAGGCGACGAUCUCUAGCUGUUCUGAGAGGAAGAUCAGCCACACUGGGACUGAGACACGGCCCAGACUCCUACGGGAGGCAGCAGUGGGGAAUAUUGCACAAUGGGGGAAACCCUGAUGCAGCCAUGCCGCGUGUGUGAAGAAGGCCUUCGGUU